GUUAAUAAUCCCUGCUGUUCUUAGCUCCAGGUGAUAAGAGGGCCAUAUGGAUGUACAGAAACAUUAUGCAUCAUCACUGCAGCUUUCCAGUCUGCCUUCUCAAUAAGAAUUCUCUCAAUUGAAUAGUUUCUGGUUAUGCCUGGAAAGGAUGCCCAUCUAUAGCUCUAAUGAUGAUGAAGCUCCAUCUUUGAACCAAUUUCCUGAUCUCUGAGCUAUGCAGUAGAUGAGUGAUCAACAGCAACCACCUUCUACUCCAGCCAAGAAUUUCCUGACCUGCAUUUCACCAAGUCCUGAAACUCAAGGUUCUUUCAAGGAAGCAGUAAGGAAGUUAAAGGUAUGGGAUGGGAGACAUGACAUUUGACCCUGAGAAAUGCAUAUAGAGGUCCCCACUUCUGAAGAGCAAAUCCAAGUUGUCUGCCUUAUAACAUAGCGAAUGUUAGCUGCUGUGUGAUGAUUUU
rnacentral:lncRNA from 1 species